rnacentral:rRNA from 1 species
AGAUUGAACGCUGGCGGAAUGCUUUACACAUGCAAGUCGAGCGGCAGCGCGGGGGCAACCCUGGCGGCGAGCGGCGAACGGGUGAGUAAUACAUCGGAACAUGUCCAGUUGUGGGGGAUAGCCCGGCGAAAGCCGGAUUAAUACCGCAUGAGCUCGAGAGAGGAAAGCGGGGGACCGUAAGGCCUCGCGCGACUGGGUUGGCCGAUGUCCGAUUAGCUAGUUGGUGGGGUAAAGGCCUACCAAGGCGAUGAUCGGUAGCUGGUCUGAGAGGAUGAUCAGCCACACUGGGACUGAGACACGGCCCAGACUCCUACGGGAGGCAGCAGUGGGGAAUUUGGACAAUGGGGGCAACCCGUGAUCCAGCCAUUCCGCGUGAGUGAAGAAGGCCUUGGUUGUAAAGCUCUUUUGUCCGGAGCGAAACGUGGCGGUGAAUAGUCCGCCACGUACUGACGGUACCGAAGAAUAAGCACCGCUAACUACGUGCCAGCAGCCG